AACGCGAAGAACCUUACCUACCCUUGACAUGUCCAAGAGCCUGAAGAGAUUUGGGUGUGCUCGAAAGAGAAUUGGAACACAGGUGCUGCAUGGCUGUCGUCAGCUCGUGUCGUGAGAUGUUGGGUUAAGUCCCGCAACGAGCGCAACCCUUGUCAUUAGUUGCUACGAAAGGGCACUCUAAUGAGACUGCCGGUGACAAACCGGAGGAAGGUGGGGAUGACGUCAAGUCCUCAUGGCCCUUAUGGGUAGGGCUUCACACGUCAUACAAUGGUACAUACAGAGGGCUGCCAACCCGCGAGGGGGAGCUAAUCCCAGAAAGUGUAUCGUAGUCCGGAUUGUAGUCUGCAACUCGACUACAUGAAGUUGGAAUCGCUAGUAAUCGCGGAUCAGCAUGUCGCGGUGAAUACGUUCCCGGGCCUUGUACACACCGCUCGUC
rnacentral:rRNA from 1 species